UCCAGUCCAGUUGGUGGCAGUAAUGCGCUUUCAUAGUCGGUCAAGCAGCCGCCAUUAAACUCCAGAGGAAGAUUUGCACUGGUGGUAACGAGUGCCAACUGCCUACACCCAACAUGAACGAAAAAACCGGUGCGUUGUGUGAAAUGGUGGAAAGUCCUAUUUCACGGAGUUACCUUUUCAGUAUCGUUUUGAUAUUAAGCAAUGUUCCGGCGGAAAACGACAGAUGACACCGCGGCGGUCCAACAAGACCGAACUCACUACCUGAAAAAUGGCCAAGCCGUACCAGCCAGACCUCAGACCGCCGUGCCGAGGAGCUCUUACGGAGUCCACCAGGAAGGAGAGAAAUUCAUACAGCAAGGCAGAGUGUGGAACGCAGUAAAGAUCUACAAAAUGGCGGACGGAGGACGGAUAUGAGGACGAAGUCAUGAAGCCUAAUGAGUCACAUUUGUGUCAAUCAGACUCUUCCGGAACGUUCUGAUGUCCGUGAUGAGGACAGAGAUGCAACUCUGUUUUCCAGUGUUUCUCGGAAAAACAGAAGAAUCAGUGUUCUGAAAGUUGAAACAACAUUCAGUGAUGCUAGAGACUUAUAGAUCAAGGCAAAGAUAAAAAAUGUAUGUAA